UUGUGGACUAUGCGGCGCUUCAUGUUCCAUAAUGAGCGAUUAUAGUAAGUUAGCCUUUGAAAUUAGCUCGUUGCUCGACAUUGACACCAUUUAUUUAAGCGAUGUUAUUUUUUUAUUUUUUUUUUUAUUUUUUUUCUUCCUUACAAGCGAAUAGUUAGAAACAGAGAAAGAGAGAGAGAGAAAUUAGACAGUUUGGUUGCAGGGCGACACAAAUGUGUUGUUAGAAGGAUAAUUACCUACCCUUUUCUUUUCAAAUUAUGUCGUGUCUUUUCUUUUUUUACAAUUUCUUUUUUUUUUUUUUUCAUUUUUCAGACAAAAGAAAUUGGAAAGUUUGUAUAAUUUAUAGAUAGAUAUUUCUUAUUACGAAAUAAUUUGUAGAAAAAUAAAUGAAACUAAAUCAAAGCAAGAUGGUAAAGCGAAUGAAAAUUAUAAAAAAAGUUUUGCAAUUUUUCGUUAGACUCCGGAUUUAUAGUACAUGAUAUUCAUCUAUAUGCGUGCAAGAAAAUUGCAAUAUACACAAAUACACACACACAAUAUGCAAAUACAGAUUCGUAUUCUUCCGUUAAUUUUUAUAUAAAAGAUGUUAGGUUUGUUGCAAAAAUAUAUCCGUUUGGCGUCAACGUCGAGGCCGGAAGUGUACACAUACAAGAAAUAAGAACACCAUAUAUAGAUAUACGAUUAUACACCAUGAAUGCAGACAUAAAUAGUGUUUUUCUCAAUCAAGCGACAACUUCGAUCGGUGAUCCAUCAAUAUCCGCGGAUAAUCUAGUAACAAGCAUCGAGAUGAUAGAAAAAAAAAUAUACAUAUACAUAUACAUAUAUAUAUAUAUAUAUGACGCGCUGGUAAAGAGGAAGAAUGAAGAUGAAGUGGGAGGAGAGAAAUAGAAAGAGAGAAGACAGAGAAAAGAUCGGAAAGACAACAAAGAAAGAAAAAGAGGCAACGGUUACGAGUCAUGUCCCUGAAGAAGACUGAAGUAUACUUAUGUUGAUCAAAAGAAUAAAAAAUAAAAA